rnacentral:rRNA from 1 species
GACGAACGCUGGCGGCGUGCUUAACACAUGCAAGUCGAACGGAAAGGCCUCUUUCGGGGGGUACUCGAGUGGCGAACGGGUGAGUAACACGUGAGUAACCUGCCCUUGACUUUGGGAUAACUUCAGGAAACUGGGGCUAAUACCGGAUAGGAGCUCCUGCUGCAUGGUGGGGGUUGGAAAGUUUCGGCGGUUGGGGAUGGACUCGCGGCUUAUCAGCUUGUUGGUGGGGUAGUGGCUUACCAAGGCUUUGACGGGUAGCCGGCCUGAGAGGGUGACCGGCCACAUUGGGACUGAGACACGGCCCAGACUCCUACGGGAGGCAGCAGUGGGGAAUAUUGCACAAUGGGUGGAAGCCUGAUGCAGCAACGCCGUGUGCGGGAUGACGGCCUUCGGGUUGGAAACCGCUUUCGCUCAUGACGAAGCUUUGUGUGACGGUAGUGGGUAAAGAAGCACCGGCUAACUACGUG